AAUAUUUUACAAUUAAUGACCGUUGAUGAAUGCUGUUUAUAGAUAUCCAUCAAAUUAUAGAUAUUCAUCUUUUGGACAGCGGCUUUUACUCUUACUAAGGGACGUACAGGAGCUUUAUUCGCUAUGCUGAUCCGUUACACAAUAUAAGAAGACACUAUUUUUGUCUUAGAAACAAUAAUAUUAACUGUCUAUUGCCAAUCUUCUACAGGUGAAACUGCAGCCCAAAAUCGGCACAUCAAUAAUUGUUUACAUCUCAACGCUAAUACUAUAUUAAAAAACUCUGACGUCAAAAUUUUCAUAAAACAUUCACACGAUUUUAUUUCGAACGUAAACAUCAUAAUUAUACUUCAAAAAAAAAAAAAAAA